rnacentral:rRNA from 1 species
GAUGAACGCUGGCGGCGUGCCUAACACAUGCAAGUCGAACGAAGCAAUUGAAGGAAGUUUUCGGAUGGAAUUCGAUUGACUGAGUGGCGGACGGGUGAGUAACGCGUGGAUAACCUGCCUCACACUGGGGGAUAACAGUUAGAAAUGACUGCUAAUACCGCAUAAGCGCACAGUACCGCAUGGUACAGUGUGAAAAACUCCGGUGGUGUGAGAUGGAUCCGCGUCUGAUUAGCCAGUUGGCGGGGUAACGGCCCACCAAAGCGACGAUCAGUAGCCGACCUGAGAGGGUGACCGGCCACAUUGGGACUGAGACACGGCCCAAACUCCUACGGGAGGCAGCAGUGGGGAAUAUUGCACAAUGGGCGAAAGCCUGAUGCAGCGACGCCGCGUGAGUGAAGAAGUAUUUCGGUAUGUAAAGCUCUAUCAGCAGGGAAGAAAAUGACGGUACCUGACUAAGAAGCCCCGGCUAACUACGUGCCAGCAGCCGCGGUAAUACGUAGGGGGCAAGCGUUAUCCGGAUUUACUGGGUGUAAAGGGAGCGUAGACGGCGAAGCAAGUCUGAAGUGAAAACCCAGGGCUCAACCCUGGGACUGCUUUGGAAACUGUUUUGCUAGAGUGUCGGAGAGGUAAGUGGAAUUCCUAGUGUAGCGGUGAAAUGCGUAGAUAUUAGGAGGAACACCAGUGGCGAAGGCGGCUUACUGGACGAUAACUGACGUUGAGGCUCGAAAGCGUGGGGAGCAAA